GCGCCCUUACCUCAGCUGGAUAGAGGGUCUGACUACGAAUCAGAACGCCGCAGGUUCGAAUCCUGCAGGGCGCACCA
rnacentral:tRNA from 1 species